rnacentral:rRNA from 1 species
CCAGCAGCCGCGGUAAUUCCAGCUCCAAUAGCGUAUAUUAAUGUUGUUGUGGUUAAAAAGCUCGUAGUUGGAUCUCGGCAGGCAGCCGGGCGGUCUGCAUCGCUGCAGUCACUGUCUUGGUUUUCUAUUGCCUGUGUUACUUUUUGCUGGUUUGCCAGGCCGGUGAUCUUGAUCGAUCGUCGGCGUCUGGGUCAGCAGUUUUACUUUGAAAAAAUUAGGGUGCUCAAAGCAGGCUUUUGAAGCUUGAAUAUUCGUGCAUGGAAUAAUGGAAUAGGAGGUCGUUCCUAUUUUGUUGGUUUUCGGGAACCGACUUAAUGAUUAAAAGGGACUGCUCGGGGGCAUUU